rnacentral:misc_RNA from 1 species
GGGUUGUUGCUGGUUCUCUAGGGAGCAUGUGCACGCUUGUCAUCUUUAUAUCUCCACCUGUGCACCUUUUGUAGACCUUGAUAUCUUUCUGAAUGUGAAUUCAGGUUUUGAGGAUUGAUAAUUCUUUCCUUACAUUUCUAGGCCUAUGUUUUUUUAUAUAACACCCCAAAUCUAUGUUAUAGAAUGUAAUAAAUGGGCCUUUGUGCCUAUAAAAUUUAUACAACUUUCAGCAACGGAUCUCUUGGCUCUCGCAUCGAUGAAGAACGCAGCGAAAUGCGAUAAGUAAUGUGAAUUGCAGAAUUCAGUGAAUCAUCGAAUCUUUGAACGCACCUUGCGCUCCUUGGUAUUCCGAGGAGCAUGCCUGUUUGAGUGUCAUUAAUAUUAUCAACCUUCCUCAGGUUUGGAUGUGAGGGUUUGCUGGUCUCUUUCUGAUAUCAGCUCCCUUGAAAUGCAUUAGCCGAACAAUUUUGUUGACUGUUCAUUGGUGUGAUAAGAAACUAUCUACGCUAUUGACAGUAAAAGCAAGUUCAGCUUCUAAUAGUCCUU